UACGGAGGGUGCAAGCGUUAAUCGGAAUUACUGGGCGUAAAGCGCGCGUAGGCGGUUCGUUAAGUCAGAUGUGAAAUCCCCGGGCUCAACCUGGGAACUGCACCUGAUACUGGCGGACUGGAGUUCUGGAGAGGUGAGUGGAAUUUCCUGUGUAGCGGUGAAAUGCAUAGAUAUAGGAAGGAACACCAGUGGCGAAGGCGGCUCACUGGCCAGAAACUGACGCUGAGGUGCGAAAGCGUGGGUAGCGAACAGG
rnacentral:rRNA from 1 species